UUACCUGCAUUCGGCUUAUUAUUAUCUUCUAAUUAUUUGACCCGUUCGUGCAUUAAUCAACAUAAUCUGUUUGUUUUACCAUAACCUCUUAUAAACAUAAUAAUAUCAGUGACGUCUCUCAUAAAUUACCAGAUUCUUGGAUGUCUUACCUCCUCUUAACACAUUAUCGUUCAUAUACUUAUUUUGACCCGUUAAGGAUUCUUGGAUGUCUUACCUCCUCUUAACACAUUAUCGUUCAUAUACUUAUUUUGACCCGUUAAGGGUAUUCGCGUAUUAAUUGGUCUAUGACUAACCAAACCAUCAUCCCCACAUCCAUACUUGUCCAAAACAUUACACUAAUCGAAUAACUUGUUUCUAAACUAUUUUUAAGAUCGUUUACCCCAAAAUACCCAUCGAGGGCAUUUUGGUCAACUUUAAUCCAUCGUUUACGACGAAAGACUUUAACACAUAUUUGACCUCAAACAUCAUGUUUAAUUAAUCACAGCACUUAAUUACUUACUUGAAUUAAGAAGUGAUUACGGAAAUCACUUACCUUAUGCGUCCGUGCUCGUAUCCGAUUCCUCGCCCUUUUCUUGACCCGUUAUCCUUUUAUGCUUGAGUCCGUCUUGACAUGAUUCCUAUACUAUCUUUUCAUCAAGAUCACGCUCCUAUUAGCAUAUGCAUUCGUACAUGAUAACAAUCAUAUCAAUCACAUAUUUCACACUCAACUUUCAUUAAUC
rnacentral:lncRNA from 1 species